rnacentral:lncRNA from 1 species
UGGAGCAGCUACAGCGUGACAGGCACUGUGCUAGGUGUGUGGGAUACAUCAGGAGAAACAAACAGCCCACUCGGCAGCUUCCCUCACCCAGGACAGAGACAGACAGGAAGCAGAACUAACAAUUGCUUGUUAGUUACAACCUUACAGUAUGCACGGGAAGGUUGGGAAGGUCCUAGCGCUGGGGACAGAAACAAGGCGAGGGAGGAUAACAGGGAGGCCGAGGGGUCCAGCGUUGUGCAGGGAGUCGGGAGGGGCAUUGGUGGAGGCCCCCGGGAAGCAUCCCAGGCCAGAACAGCUGGCAGCAAGGUGUGCAGGCCGCCGGCCCUGGCGUUUUCCAGGAACGGCGGAGAGGCCCUGUGAUUGGAGCAGAGAAGCCAGGGCAGGGCUGGAGAGCCAGUAGACACUGUGGGGGGUUGCCUUCCCCGUUCGGGAAGCUGCUGGAGCCUGACGGAGGAGCCCCAUGAUCUGUUUGGGCCGUGCAAGGGUCGCUGCGCGCACCGUGUUAGGAACAGACAGUCACAGUCUCGGGACAGAGCGGUUCGGAAUGAGUAGAUGCAGGACAUAGGAGAGGGCGAGGAAGGAAAGGCAUUGCUAAGGAGGAGGGUGCUGGCCGCAGCUCGGGCGUCUGGCCCCCGCCGGCCUGGACUCCAGCGAGUCUGGUUCUCAGGAGGCGGAGGCGGAGGUGGGGGUGGGGCCUCCUGGCCGUCGUCGCGGUCAUCUCAGUGGCACAGGCAGUGCCAUCCCUGGACUCAGGAAAACCCAGGCGCUCCGGCUUUCCACAACCAGGGGCAGCCCGCUUGUCCCCCUCCCCGCAACCCUGUCCCCACGGCCCCGCUCUCCUGCCUCCGGCUCCACGCCUCAGGGGCCCGAGAUGUACAAGGCCUGCGCUCCUGCCUGGGAUCCAUCUCCCCCAAAUCAAGCCCAGGACAGAGACUGCACGAUUUGCACACAUCCCAGAAGCUUUCCCCUGGACACACCCUUGGGAAAAGGAUCCAGGAUUCUUCCCUGAAGCAGAAACAACUGGGAAAGGUUCUGAAACGAGCUUUCAGGAGCAGACAGGACGCACACCCACGGCAGUGGAGACGCUGGCUGGGCAGCCUCGGGAGACCGCCCUCACAACCCAUCUGGGGACGACGGGAAGCAAACGGAGGAGCUGCAAGGGGCACAACCAGGCAGUCUUCCCGUAGGGUGCGCUGCGCAGGUCACACAGCUGAGGAAGGCAGAAGCGGCCCAGAGCUCAACGCAGGGGCCUAAGUCAGAGUCUGUGAUUUGCUGUGGUUUAAAUGAGAUUCAGGUCCGCAACUCGAUGACACUUAAACCCCCAACUUUAUGUUAAUGGUGAGUGGAAUAAGGGCGGAGACUGGACCCCAUGGGAGGUCACUGGGGUGAGUGUCCCCAGAGGGGAGUACUUGCAAGAGGCUUGGAUACAAAAGCCUUCAACGCCAGCAUUCCAUAUGGGCAGUGACUCAAGUCCCGGCUGCUGGCUCCUCCGCUUCUGAUCCAGCUUCCUGCUAAUGCCCCUGGGAAGGCAGCAGAAACAUGGCCCAAGUGCUUGAGAACUCUGCCACCCACGUGGGAGACCAAACGGAGUACAGGCUCCUGACUUCAGCCUUGUCCAGCCCUUGGCUGUCGUGGCCAUUUGGGGAGUGAACCAGGAAAUGGAAGAGCAGAGGUUGGUCUAAGUGCUUAGACCUGUGUUACCCACAUGGGAGGUCCUGUUACCUUGUGGGAGCUCUGAGCUCCUGGCUUCAGCCUGGUCUAGCCCCUGCUGCUAGACUGGGGAGUGGGCCAGCAGAUGAAAGAUUUUUUUUCUCUCUGUACCUCUGUCACUUUGCCUUUCAAAUAAAUAAAAAAAAAAUCUUUUAAAAUAAAAAAUU